ACCAACACACCUGGAAGCUACACCUGUUCAUGUAAUGAUGGAUACGUUAUAAGUAGCACAGACCCUACACAGUGUGACGACAUCGAUGAAUGCAGCGCUCAGCCAAGCCCAUGUCAACAGAAUUGCACCAACACAGACGGAAGCUUCACUUGUUCAUGUAGACCUGGAUUUGCCGUAAAUACCACGGACCCAACUAGGUGUUAUGCACUCUGUGUUCCGUUAUCAACUCCAUUAAUAGAAACCCAAAACGCUUCAUCACCCUUGG